rnacentral:rRNA from 1 species
GACGAACGCUGGCGGCGUGCCUAAUACAUGCAAGUAGAACGCAGUUGCGAACGGGUGAGUAACGCGUAGGUAACUGCCUCAUUGCGGGGGAUUACCAUUGGAAACGAUAGCUAAUACCGCAUACUGGGAGAUGGACCUGCGUUGUAUUUGCUAGUUGGUGAGGUAAAGGGUCACCAAGGCGACGAUACAUAGCCGGCCUGAGAGGGGUAUCGGCCCAACUGGGACUGGAGCACGGCCCAGAAUCCUUAGGGAGGGAAGAGUAGGGGAACUUCGGCAAAGGACGGAAGUCUGGCCGAGCAACGCCGGGGGGUUGAAGAAGGGUUUCGGAGCGGAAAGCUCUGUUGUUAGGGAAGCGGUAACUGACCAGAAAGGGACGGCUAACUACGUGCCAGCAGCCGCGGUAAUUC